rnacentral:rRNA from 1 species
UACGAGGGUGCGAGCGUUGUCCGGAAUCAUUGGGCGUAAAGGGCGCGUAGGUGGUGGCUUAAGCGUGCGGUGAAAGCUCGGGGCUCAACUCCGAGUCGGCCGUGCGAACUGGGCUCACUGGAGCAUAGUAGAGGCAGGUGGAAUUCCGGGUGUAGCGGUGGAAUGCGUAGAGAUCCGGAAGAACACCGGUGGCGAAGGCGGCCUGCUGGGCUAUGGCUGACACUGAGGCGCGACAGCGUGGGGAGCAAACAGG